GACGAACGCUGGCGGCGUGCUUAACACAUGCAAGUCGAACGGAAAGGCCCUGCUUUUGUGGGGUGCUCGAGUGGCGAACGGGUGAGUAACACGUGAGUAACCUGCCCUUGACUUUGGGAUAACUUCAGGAAACUGGGGCUAAUACCGGAUAGGAGCUCCUGCUGCAUGGUGGGGGUUGGAAAGUUUCGGCGGUUGGGGAUGGACUCGCGGCUUAUCAGCUUGUUGGUGGGGUAGUGGCUUACCAAGGCUUUGACGGGUAGCCCGCCUGAGAGGUUGACCGGCCACAUUGGGACUGCGAUACGGACCAGACUCCUACGGGAGGCAGCAGUGGGGAAUAUUGCGCAAUGGGCGGAAGCCUGAUGCAGCAACGCCGCGUGCGGGAUGACGUCCUUCGGGUUGUAAACCGCUUUCGCCUUUGACGAAGCGUGCGUGACGGUAAUGGGUCAAGAAGCACCGGCUAACUACGUG
rnacentral:rRNA from 1 species